GGCUCUGUGGUGCAAUGGAUAGCGCACUGGCCUUCUACUAAGCAGAAGGCAUUCAAAGGUUGUGGGUUUGAGUCCCACCAGAGUCA
rnacentral:tRNA from 1 species